CCUUGUUACCUCUCUGCUGGCCAGAAGGGAAAGAGACCCUCCCAGGCUUUCUUGUCUUUAACAUGUGUCUUCACAGAGGCAUGUACAGUUUCCUUAGUGGUUUAACAGAUUGUCAAUUCUCAAAGCUAAUUACUGAUUGUUUUUUUUGUCAGACAUGGAGGAAACUGCUAGCACCUUCUCUUAGGACAUGACUUCCGUGAUGCAAAACCACCACAACAGCACAGAGCACAGAGCUCCUUUGUCCAUAUGUAGUAGUCAUGUGCCAAAGGCCUCAAAACCCCACCUUUGGAGAUGUCAGGGCCCUCUCCAAGGUGUUUUGAAAUGAAAACAUGCAGCUCUUCAUCUAAGAAAAUCACCAGAGGACAGGGCCAGCCUGACCUGUCUGUCCUGGCUACUUUUGUCUGGGAGCAAUUCUUGGAUAUACAGAAUUUGGGAGGCCAAAUUCUAAUUUUGGCCAUGGCCUUUGGACAUGAAAGCCAGUUUUUUUCCAUAAGAAGGAAGCAACAGAGCCCCAGUGUUUCCCAGGUGGAUGAGAGGUGACCACCAGAGGCCAAGGCCAGCCAGAGCUGGCAGGUUUUGUUCUGAGAGAUGCCCUUGCAUAGAGGAAAUUUUUUAGGGAGAGUACCUAUUUUGACAAUGGGCACCUGAAAAGAGGGAUGGUUCUUUUCCAUAGCAAGGAAAGCAUGGAGCUCCAGCACUCCAGGAGCUGAUGAGAGGCAGCCCUUGACAUCCCAAAUCAGCCAGACCUGUCAGGUGGCACCUGGGAGGCCAAGCCAGCCAGACCUGCUCCAUGUUCCCUCGGUUCCAUGGGGCCCUACUGUGUCCCAAUGGUCCCUUGCUUCCAUAAGGCCCUGAAGUGUCCCAAUGCCCCCUUGGUGACACAAGGCCUUGAAGGGUCAGAAUGGUCUCCAUGGUUCCAUCAGGCCCCAUAGAGUCAUAAUGGUCUCUGAGUUGCAUGAAGCCCCGCUGUGUCACCAUGGCCCCUUGGUUCCAUGGGCUCCAGUGGUGCCACAAUGAUCCCCUUGGUUCCAUGAGGUCCCCACAGUGUCCCAGGGAUCUCCAUGGCAAGGAAAGAACCCAGCCCCAGCGUUGCAGGGGCCGUCAACAGAGGCAAGGCCAGCCAGACUUGACAGUACUGGCAGAUUUUGCCUGGGAGCAACCCUUGGAUGUAUGGAAUUUUUGAGGUGGAAUUCCAGUUUCAGACAUGGACACCCAGAGAAGGAUGGUUCUGUUCCAUAGGAAGGAAAGCAUGGAACUCCAGUGUUUCGGGGCAGAUGAAAAGCAGCCAUCAGAGGCCUAGGCCAGCUACACCUCUCUGUCCUGGUAGCUUUUGUCUGAAAGCAACCCUUGGAUAUAGGGAAUUUGGGAGAUGGAAGCCCAAUUUUGGCCACUUCUGUGUAGGUAAGACAGAUCAUUCUUUUCCAAGGAAAGUACAGAGCCCAUAUGUUUCAAAGGCAGAUGAGGAGAGAGAUGGCUCCUGGAAUGAUAGUAAUGAUAUCCUCAGGCCAGGUCUUAUGAGCUCUUGGGGACCUAUAUUACACCAAAGAUAGUUCAGCCACCUCAGAUGGCAUAAAAUCAGCAUGUCUUCAGUGGUAGUGUUGGAAACAGAAAAGUUUAAAAAAAAGAUAAAAUAACAAAGGUCUUUACAGAGAAAACCUACACCAGUGGCAAGAGGCUCUUGCUUCCGGUAAAAACCCCACAAAAGUGUUUAGUUCCUUUGUUCCACUUUUUCUAGUAAAUUGUUUAGGAAGGACCUUUUUGCUUCUGUCGAGUUAUCUAUCCUUAAGUUUGAAGUAAGGUCCCCAAAGUCCUAUGAGGUGUCUUUUUACCAAGGUGAGGAGAGAAACUUCUGGGCUUUUUCCCUUUUUAAGGAGACAAGGAUAAUUUGGUUACUCCGUCAACAGGGGGCACAUUCCUACACUGGGAGGCCAAGCCCGCCAGACCUGUUUGUCCUGGCAGCUUUUAUCAUGGAGGAAUCCUUGGUUAUAUUGAAUUUGGGAGGAGGAAUCUCGAUUUUGACCAUGGACAGCUUGAGCAGAAGGAUGGUUCUUUUCCAUUGGAACAAAAGCACCAGUGUUUCAAAAGCAGGUGAGAGGCAGCCCCCAAGAGGCCAAGGGCAGCCAGACCUGUCUGUCCUAGCAACUUUCAUGGGGAGAAAUCCUUGUAUGUAUGGAAUUUUGGAGGUGGAAUCCCAGUUUUGGCCAUGGGCACCUGGUCAAGAUGGAUAGUUUUUUUCCUACAGGAAAGAGAAGUGCGAAGUCCAAGUGUUCUGGAAGAAGAUGAGAGGGGCCACCUUCAGGCCAAGCCAGCGAGACCUGUCUCUCCUGGCACCUUUUGUCUAGGGGCUAUCCUUGGCCAUAGGGCGUUUUGGAGGUGGAAUCUCAGUUUUGGCCAUGGCUGCCUGGACAGGAAGAAGAGUUCUUUUCAUUAGGAAGGAAAGUGCAGAGCCCCAUUGUUUCAGAGGCAGAUGAGUGCCAGCCCUCAGGAAGCCAGACUAGUCAGCCCUGGCAGUUUUUGUCUGGGAGUUAUCCUUGGAUAUAGGAAAUUCUGGAGGCAGAUCCCCAAUUUUGGCCAUGUGUGCCUGGUUGAGAUGGAUGGUUUUAUCCCAUAAGAAAGAAAAGCACAUGGUCCCAGUGUUUCAAAGGCUGAUGAGAGGUGGCCCCCAGGUGGCCAAGGCAGCCAGAGCUGUCUCUCCUGGUGGAUUUCAUCUGGGAACAAUUUUUGCAUAUAAGGAGAUUUGGAGGAGGAAUCCCAGCUUUGACAAUGGGCCCCUGGAGGAGAAGGACAUUUCUCUCCCAUAGGAAGGAAAGCCCAGAGCCCCAGUGCUUCAGGGGCAGAUGAGAAGCAGCCCUCAACAUGCCAAGGUCAGCUGGACCUGUCAGGUGGUCCCCAGGAGGCCCAGCCAGCCAGACCUGUUCCCUGUUCCCUUGGUUUUGUGGGACCCCACAGUGUCACAAUGGUUUCCUUGGUUCCACGAGGCCCCAGAGUGUCACAAUGUUCCCCCUGCUUCUGCAGUGUCACAAUGGCCCCGUGCUUCCAUGAGACCUUGCAAUGUCGCAAUGGCUCUGUGGUUCCACAAAGCCCUGAUGUGUCACCAGGGCCCCUCGGCUCCAUGCACCCUCGCUGUGUCACAAUGGCUCCUCUGUGACACUACAGGCUCCACAAGGCAGACACCUGCUGAUAACAGGCUACUGAAUGGCACUGCAUGACUGGUAAGAACUACAACAUCCCAUUGUGAGAUGAUCCGCCCAGAGGGGAGAGCCAAGCAUUCCUACCAGAUAUAAUAUUAAAAAUUCUGGAACACCAGCAUGGCUUUCUCCACUGGAUUUCCCAGAGGAACAGCAGCUGCCUCUUCCACUGGAUCUUCAGAGGAAGACUACACCUUUCUAAAGGACCCCUGCUCCAGCAGAACCACACCUGACACUCCAGGAGGACUGCAGCCACCAUUCCAAUUGGACUGCUACCAACACCCUGACCAAGAGGGUGUCAGGUUGUGUUCUGACUCUGUCAGUGUUGUCUUGGUUUACUGCAUUGUUUAUUUCAUCUUUUUAUUUGUUUCCCUAAUAAAGAACUGUUGUUCCUGCUCCCAUA